CCUACGGGAGGCAGCAGUGGGGAAUAUUGGUCAAUGGGCGGAACCCUGAUGCAGCGAAGCAGCGUGAGUGAAGACGUCUCUCGGUAUGUAAAGCUUUAUUAGUAGGGAAGUAGAUGACGGUACCUGUGUAAGAAGCUCCGGCUCACUACGUGCCAGCAGCCGCGGUUAUACGCAGGGAGCAAGCGUUAUCCGGAUUUACUGGGUGUAAAGGGAGCGUAGUGGGGAGGGCAAGUCUGUAGUGAAAGUCUGGGGCCCAACCGCGGAACUGGUGUGGAAACUGGCAUGCUGGAGUGCUGGAGAGGUAAGCGGAAUUCGUGGUGUAGCGGUGAAAUGCGUAGAUAUUAGGAAGAACUCCGAUUGCGAAGGCAGCUUACUGGACUGCAACUGACAUUGAGGCUCGAAAGCGUGGGUAUCAAACAGGAUUAGAUACCCGUGUAGUC
rnacentral:rRNA from 1 species